AUUGAACGCUGGCGGCAUGCCUUACACAUGCAAGUCGAGCGGCAGCGCGGGGGCAACCCUGGCGGCGAGCGGCGAACGGGUGAGUAAUGCAUCGGAACGUGUCCUCUUGUGGGGGAUAACCAGUCGAAAGACUGGCUAAUACCGCAUGAGAUCGAGAGAUGAAAGCAGGGGAUCCGCAAGGACCUUGCGCGAGAGGAGCGGCCGANGCCGGAUUAGCUAGUUGGUGGGGUAAUGGCCUACCAAGGCGACGAUCCGUAGCUGGUCUGAGAGGACGACCAGCCACACUGGGACUGAGACACGGCCCAGACUCCUACGGGAGGCAGCAGUGGGGAAUAUUGCGCAAUGGGCGAAAGCCUGACGCAGCGACGCCGCGUGUGGGAUGACGGCCUUCGGUU
rnacentral:rRNA from 1 species